AGAAUUUUUCUUCAUACACACAUUUUAUUAUUAAGUACAUUUUAAGAUAAGCAUUGCGUAUUGGUUUUACUCUAUGACUAUUCUAAAAAAAAUACGACUUAUACUGACUUCAAGUUAUGCAAAAUAUGUGUUCAAAAACUUUAAUAAUACUUUUCGAGAAAAUGAGUAUUUACUUUUAAAAUAAUUGCUAAAGAUAUUAUAUACACAAUACACACAUCAUAUAGAAUAAAUAUACCACAGACGGGAUGAAUGGGAUGAUAUAAUUUUCUGUCUAUCGGUUGAUGCAUAAACGUCCGUUUCAAUGAACAUUCGACGAAUAAUGUAUAAAUAUAAGUACAACGUGAGUAACUGAUCAGCCAAUCCAUCAUUUUCAUCCGUACGGAAAUCUUUUAUAUUAAGACUGCAACGAGAUUAACGAUGGUGUUACGAACCAAAAGUAGAGUAAGUGUAGUAAUUUUCGCAUUUUUUUGGAUCAUUAAAAUCCAAUCCUUAGUUUAUCGAUCAUUUGUUGAUUUUACGCACUUCUACAAAUAUAAUAAUUAUUAUUGUUGGAUACACUUUUAAUAUUUUAAUUUGGAGCGGCCACAAGUCCUGCGUCGUAACGUUGCCACCCUGGCGAUGUACAGCAGACACAGCUGCGUGUAAACUUUGUCCCCUCCCGGAGGGGGGCCGUACCGUCGCGGUCUAACCGAUGACCGCUGAUGCUUCCGCCGUCCCCGCCGCCGUGUCUUUUGUCUUUUACCGUCCGUCUAGCGAAGCAGUCUUUUGUUUUCGUUGGUCAUCGCAAAACCGUUGCGCCAUCGCCGUAUUCCGCCCUUGGAUUACGCACGUCCGAGCUCUCGCGCUCAUCGUCGUGCCGCACACGUCCCGUGUCCGCGAUUUAUAAUUUAU